CUUAUCAGCUCAGACACAACCUCAACCAUGUUCAGCACAGCUCUAACACUGCUGAUGAUCACUAGUCUACCAUGUUUUCAGUCUGAAGCUGUGGUUAAAAAACCUGGAGAAUCUCAUAAACUGACCUGUACAGCAUCUGGAUUCACAUUCAGUGACUACCGUAUGGCCUGGAUCAGACAGUGUCCUGGGGAAGGCCUGGAAUGGAUUGCAUAUACUGGCACUACCAGCACUCCCAUCUCCUAUUCCCAGUCAGUCCAGGGAAGGGUCACGACCUCCAGAUCUGACUCCAGUGCCUAAUGAUGGCCCCCUUCACUUGCAUCGUCACCUCUUCGGACUGCGUAUAGAGAGUUCCUAUGAACAGCUAUCAAAUGCAUAUUCAACACUUGGAAUCAACUCCAGACCAUUUAUCUCCUUAAUUUGUUAUAAAUCUGAGAAAAGGCCACACCUGGCCAUGAAACUGCUUAUCAGUCAACUGUCUAAGUAGUUUUGAGCCUGUGAUGGAGGGAUUAAUUAAAAAAUGACUGUAAUUUCUAAACGGUUAAUACAAUAUGUUUUGCUAAACUAUUGAUUUAAGCUGAAAGUCUACACUUUAAUCACAUCUUAAACUUCAUGGCAAAUCCAUUUUGAAGGAGAACAGCGGCAACAUUAUAAAAAUUGAAUCACUGUACAAAUACUUAUGGACCAGAAUGCAUGUAAACGAUGUAUGUAUGUAAAUAGUUUUGUGUUAGCUUCUGUUGUGUAAACUCUACUCUUGUAAUUUGUACAACUCACACUGUUCCUCACUGUUACUGGUAGACAGGUUUUUUUAUGUAGUUUAUCUGUUAAUAUGUGUAACUGAAAAUUUACUCAUUCAAAUAAAGUUACAAAAUUUCUAAC